GACCUGAUGGUGCAACGGUUAGCACGCUUCCUUCAAAUCUCCAAGCCUCAUGGCAAAAUUAAGGAAGAAACCCCCGUUCGACUCGGGGUCGGGUCA